CCCUUAGAUGUUCUGGGCUGCACGCGCGCUACACUGAAGCUAUCAACACGUUUUCCCUCCCCGAGAAGGGCGGGUAACCUUUUGAAUCAGCUUCGUGGUAGGGAUCGGGGCUUGCAAUUGUUCCCCGUGAACCAGGAAUUCCUAGUAGACGCGAGUCAUAAGCUCGCAUCGAUUAAGUCCCUGCCCUUUGUACACACCGCCCGUCGCUACUACCGAUUGAACGUUUUAGUGAGGCAUUUGGACCGACGCAUCUCAGUUUAACCUCUGGUUUGUGUUGGAAAGACUUCCAAACUUGAGCGUUUAGAGGAAGUAAAAGUCGUAACA
rnacentral:rRNA from 1 species